GUGAGGAAUAUUGGGCAAUGGGCGAAAGCCUGACCCAGCCACGCCGCGUGAGUGAUGAAGGCCUUCGGGUUGUAAAGCUCUGUGGGGAGGGAAGAAAAAGCGGGAGAGUAACUGCUCUCGUGUUGACGGUACCUCCUUAGCAAGCACCGGCUAACUCUGUGCCAGCAGCCGCGGUAAUACAGAGGGUGCAAACGUUGCUCGGAAUUACUGGGCGUAAAGCGCGUGUAGGCUGACAUGCAAUUCGGGUGUGAAAUCCCAGGGCUCAACCUUGGAACUGCACUCGAAACUGCACGUCUUGAGUACUGGAGAGGGAAGCGGAAUUCCGGGUGUAGAGGUGAAAUUCGUAGAUAUCCGGAGGAACACCAGUGGCGAAGGCGGCUUCCUGGACAGUAACUGACGCUGAGACGCGAAAGCGUGGGGAGCAAACAGGAUUAGAAACCCGUGUAGUCC
rnacentral:rRNA from 1 species